rnacentral:rRNA from 1 species
CGGUGACAAACCGGAGGAAGGUGGGGAUGACGUCAGGUCAUCAUGGCCCUUACGGCCAGGGCUACACACGUGCUACAAUGGUGCGCACAGAGGGCUGCAAACCCGCGAGGGGGAGCUAAUCUCACAAAACGCAUCGUAGUCCGGAUCGGAGUCUGCAACUCGACUCCGUGAAGUCGGAAUCGCUAGUAAUCGUGAAUCAGAAUGUCACGGUGAAUACGUUCCCGGGCCUUGUACACACCGCCCGUCACACCAUGGGAGUGGAUUGCACCAGAAGUGGUUAGUCUAACCUUCGGGAGGACGAUCACCACGGUGUGGUUCAUGACUGGGGUGAAGUCGUAACAAGGUAACCGUACUGGAAGGUGCGGUUGGAUCACCUCCUU